AUUGAACGCUGGCGGCAGGCCUAACACAUGCAAGUCGAACGGUAACAGAAAGCAGCUUGCUGCUUUGCUGACGAGUGGCGGACGGGUGAGUAAUGUCUGGGAAACUGCCUGAUGGAGGGGGAUAACUACUGGAAACGGUAGCUAAUACCGCAUAACGUCGCAAGACCAAAGAGGGGGACCUUCGGGCCUCUUGCCAUCGACUGUGCCCAGAUGGGAUUAGCUAGUAGGUGGGGUAACGGCUCACCUAGGCGACGAUCCCUAGCUGGUCUGAGAGGAUGACCAGCCACACUGGAACUGGGUCACGGUCCAGACUCCGACGGGAGGGAGCAGUGGGGAAUAUUGCACAAUGGGCGCAAGCCUGAUGCAGCCAUGCCGCGUGUAUGAAGAAGGCCUUCGGGUUGUAAAGUACUUUCAGCGAGGAGGAAGGUGUUGUGGUUAAUAACCACAGCAAUUGACGUUACUCGCAGAAGAAGCACCGGCUAACUCCGUGGCAGCCGCCGCUGUAA
rnacentral:rRNA from 1 species